rnacentral:tRNA from 1 species
ACCGGUAUCGCCAAGUGGUAAGGCAUCAGGUUUUGGCCCUGACACGCGUAGGUUCGAUUCCUGCUACCCUAA